GCUACCGAGGGGUGCUGCAGCGGAUCCCGGUCCGCCACGCUUGGUAGGCGAUUCCUCGCAAGGGCGCCCUUUCCAU
rnacentral:ncRNA from 2 species